UACGGGGGGGGCAAGCGUUGUUCGGAAUUACUGGGCGGAAAGGGCUCGUAGGUGGCCAACUAAGUCAGACGUGAAAUCCCUCGGCUUAACCGGGGAACUGCGCCUGAUACUGGAUGGCUUGAGUUCGGGAGAGGGAUGCGGAAUUCCAGGUGUAGCGGUGAAAUGCGUAGAUAUCUGGAGGAACACCGGUGGCGAAGGCGGCAUCCUGGACCGACACUGACACUGAGGAGCGAAAGCCAGGGGAGCAAACGGG
rnacentral:rRNA from 1 species